CAUGAGAUAUGAGAAAUGGGAUCGGGUUGCACGCUUGCAACAAGAUUGAAACUGAAAGUAAAAGUUGUCUUUACUUCUUUUUACCUGCGUUAGAAGUUAAAUUAUAGUUUUUUCCUUAUUGUUUUUUAUAUUCUAUUUAUCUGUCAUCCCCACAACAUUUUCCUAUUCCCCAGCUAUAUUAUAUAAUUGCACUGGCUUAUCAGGAAUCUGGUCCUAGCCUCGUCACUACUUCGCCGAGGUUAGGCCAGACACUUACGAGCACAUGGGGUCUGUUGCGUUGAUGCUACACUCUGUGCUCUUUUGCACAGAUCAGGUGUCGGAGUAGCCUUUGAGCAGCAGUACUAGAUUGGGAGCCAGCCUUUACUCUACCGACAAACUGACGUAGCCUUGCAGACGUCUGCAGGCCCGGAGUCUCCACUAUCUUGCUUUUUAUUUUGUUAUCUCAUGUAUUCCGAGACAAACAAUGUUAUAUUCUUUUCAUGGUUGUGUGUAGUACUCUUAGUGGUUCGUGAAUAUGUGACACCAGUUCUUGGGUAGAGAUUAUGUUGAUUUCUCCGCAUUGUUGUUCAGAAAUCUUUAAUUUAAGAUUUCCGCUUAUUUAUUUUAUCUGUAGUUUCAUGGUAUUACCGAUAACUGCUAAAAGGAAUAAAUCAGUUAUGAAAAAGGUAUUUAAAAAUUGGCUUGCCUACCUCUCAUUAAUAUGCGUCAUCGUGACUUCCCAGGGUGAGAAUUCCAGGUCGUGACACCUCACAAAUAACCCUUUUGGCCCAAACGAUACUGACCGUAUGACUUAAUUCAACAUUACCCAAAACGAACUUGACACUUAAUCCACUCAAUUCAAACGACUUCAAAUUAAUUUAAAACAAACCUUGACUUCCGUUUUAUGUGAAAUCAGAUUGGUAAUAUAUAUUAAUUAACAAACCGAGCAAACAUGAAAAAGCAAGCUUUGUUUUGAUAUUAGACUCCCACCACAGUGAUCCAUAAACAUCUGAUUUAAGCUUAUAACAAUACAUUUGCAUAUGUAACCAACAAAAAUUUGUUUUCGACCAAAGACAUACACCCAAUUACAUUAGGUAUUAACAGAUUUGCACUAACUAAAAUGGCUGCCAUAAAACUUCAGUUUUAGGAGCAUAGCACAACCCUUUUAACCAAACACACUCCAGACCUUUAAGAAUCGAAAUGAAAAUUAACAGUUAGAAAAGAAAUAGAACUUAGGUCAGAUUUGCAUAGCAACUAAAUGAGUGAAUACAUAUCAUACUAAACAUGGAACAAAUUGUAAACCAAGUGCAUCUGAACAAAUGCGGGCAGAAGGUGUUUUUCUUGCAAAUCCAUCCAACAUAAAAAUGUAAAUGAACUUAUAGCAACUCCUCAAUGACAUAAAUGGAAGUGACAGACUACAGAUACACUAAAUGAACACAAAAUUCAUCAGGAAAACACAACUAGUAUUUAGUAUCAAGAGACUACUGCACAUCUUGAACUCCCAAUCGGUUUCAUGGCUUCAAACUCACAUGUCAUACAUUCAUGGGUCUAAGAAAGUACUUGUGACGAAAAGGAACAAGAACUAGGGAUAUCAGCAACAGGCACUAUCAGCCAGCCCAGGGUAAACAAACCAAUGAAACGGUGAAUCUCCACAACCAACCAAAACCAGCUUUAAAAUAUUCAAAUCACCCCAUCUUCAACCCCAGAUAAAUCAAAGGUAACUUCAGAAAUUUUAAACUCCCGAAUGAGAGAAGGAACUUAACUUGAACAGUGGAAAGUCUUAAAUCAACUCUAAACAAAAAGUUCAAACCAUUUGUUUUCCACCUGAAAUGUAGUUAAGGGAAGUUUCUAAGUAUUCUGCAGAAAUUUUGAUGGUUUUCUCACAUUGAAAAUGCAGGAACUUAAGAACUUAAAAUAUUCGGCCAUUUCAGCUUUUGAAUUUUUAUCUCUUCAGAGUAUACCUUCAAUGCCAAGUAAAGGUGUCUUUAUAGGCAAGGUUCUAGGGCAUAAAAAAAUCAGUUUUUGCCCAUUAAACCUUUUCAAAUUUUACUUUUUGCUACUUAAUCAUUAAAAUUUUGACUUGUUUGUUAAGCCUGUCUUUUAGCUUCCAGGAAGCUUCCUAAGUCUAUUACUGAUAGAUUCCCUAAGAAGAUUUCCUAGACUCUUGGACUAAUCCCCCUCCCUUUGCCCCAAAAAUCCAGUUCCAACACUCAAAUGGGCAGAAAAACUAGACGGGCAAAAAAGGCCGGUAGUCCUUUAGACCUUUAGACCAAAUGGUCUUAGUACAACCCAAUACUUAAAUAAAACAGCAAAUUAAACGAAAGUUAACAUGAUGAAUCCAAAUAAACUAAAGGAAAAACAAUGGCAAUUACGCCUUAACUGAACUAAAAUGUUUUUUUAAGAAAACAAAAAGGAAGAAUAAAAAACAUAGAGGUAGAUAGUAAUAACAAAAAGAAGAAAAAUGGAAAAAAAAUAAAAUCAGGCAUACCUCCCAAAACUAACGGACAACCAUCUUGAAAUCAACCUCACUGAAUCCUCAAAUUUUGACCGAGAUAGACCUUAAUUAUGUGUUCUCGACUGAGACUAAAAUCGAUUUCGACCUCAAAACCUUGCUGAUUUGGAGUUUUGAGAUUUUAGGGUUCGUCUUUUGAAAUCCAGAUCCGAGAGAUUUUGGGAGUAUUUGAAGGAAAAUAAAUGGAGAUUUGGAAUGAGGAGGUCAUGGAGCUUAUGGGGUGUAAUUUUGGUGGAGAGCAGAGGUGGCACCGCCACCCCAAAGUGGUGGAGAAAGGGGCGGAGCUAGGGUUCUAAAGGUUGUCUCUGAAGAAAGAGUGUAUGAGUGACACGACUUAGGGGGAGGGGUAGCGGAUUCAAAUAGUCUUACAUUAAUG
rnacentral:lncRNA from 1 species